UACAGAGGUCCCAAGCGUUGUUCGGAUUCACUGGGCGUAAAGGGCUCGUAGGCGGCCGGCUAAGUCCGACGUGAAAUCCCCAGGCUUAACCUGGGAACUGCGUCGGAUACUGGCGGGCUUGAAUUCGGGAGAGGGAUGCGGAAUUCCAGGUGUAGCGGUGAAAUGCGUAGAUAUCUGGAGGAACACCGGUGGCGAAGGCGGCAUCCUGGACCGGCAUUGACGCUGAAUAGCGAAAGCCAGGGGAGCAAACGGG
rnacentral:rRNA from 1 species